GAAGAUAUGGCUCAGUGGAAGAGAACUUACCUGGCAAGUAUGAGGCCCUGAGUUCAAACCCCAGUAUUGCCA
rnacentral:tRNA from 1 species